rnacentral:lncRNA from 1 species
CAGUUAUUGCACUUGGCUGGGUGUGUGACGGUGAACAGGAUGGACACCUCUCCUGCCCUCACGGGCCUGCAGUCUAAGGAACGUCAAGACGGACACGCAGGCAAACCCCUGGGACCUUUCGCAGCUCAGCAGUGGUGGAGGGGGCCAUUCCACAGAGGAAGCAGGGGAAGGGAGUGGUGAACGAAGGCCACAACUGUGUGGGUGAAGCUAUCGUGAAGACUGGACAGGAGCCCAGGGCUCUGUAGGCAAAGGCCACUCCCCAGCCGCGAGACCUGGACCGACAGGCGGGGAGAAGGAGAAAGCAGGAAAGUGCAGAAGAGCUUUCCUGGAAGUCCCACCCAAUGAAUUCUGCUUACACAAUGUGGAGACAAAAAGAGAUACAGUCUCUGAAGCCAAACCACUGGGUGAGAACCCCAACACC